rnacentral:rRNA from 1 species
GCCUAACACAUGCAAGUCGAGCGGAUGACGGGAGCCUGCUCCUUGAUUCAGCGGCGGACGGGUGAGUAAUGCCUAGGAAUCUGCCUGGUAGUGGGGGACAACGUUUCGAAAGGAACGCUAAUACCGCAUACGUCCUACGGGAGAAAGCAGGGUGACCUUCGGGCCUUGCGCUAUCAGAUGAGCCUAGGUCGGAUUAGCUAGUUGGUGGGGUAAUGGCUCACCAAGGCGACGAUCCGUAACUGGUCUGAGAGGAUGAUCAGUCACACUGGAACUGAGACACGGUCCAGACUCCUACGGGAGGCAGCAGUGGGGAAUAUUGGACAAUGGGCGAAAGCCUGAUCCAGCCAUGCCGCGUGUGUGAAGAAGGUCUUCGGAUUGUAAAGCACUUUAAGUUGGGAGGAAGGGCAGUAAGUUAAUACCUUGCUGUNUUUUGACGUUACCGACAGAAUAAGCACCGGCUAACUCUGUGCCAGCAGCCGCGGUAAUACAGAGGGUGCAAGCGUUAAUCGGAAUUACUGGGCGUAAAGCGCGCGUAAGUGG